AACGGGCUUGAGCUGGUUCCCCUGUAGAGUGAGGGUGCUGCAGGACGUGUGCAGGCCCUGGCCAGGCUGAUGUUGUGACAGUGCCGUUGUGAUACAAAAGCACCCCAGCCUAGCACAAUGGGGAUGAGCUCGACACACCCGAGCCCUGGGUGGCCUCACACAGCAGCACCUGCUGGGUCCCCACAGCCCCUGGAUGUGGCACUGGACACUCAGCAGCUGAGCGAGUGCCAAAUCCCCUCUGCAUGUGGCAGCAACUGCAGCUGCGAGACCCACAGCACCUCCCAGUACAGCUGGGCUGGGGGCUUUUGCUGAGAUCUGUAGCAGUGUGGCUGUUCUCAGGAUUUAGCACUUUCACAGGGGUGCAAAGCAGGCGUUGCCCUGGCAUCCAAGGGGAAAGCCUCCAGAAUUAAAAGUCUGUGUUUAAAAACAUCACUGAUUAGUGGAAAGGAACCUGAUCUUCCCCUUUCCAAACCCCACAGAGCACCCAGCACCAUGGCAAGGCAGCACAGGGCUCAAGGAUGGCAUCAGCAGCCAGCCCUAAAUGCCCCCCACAGGUGCCCUGCAUCCCUGCUGCCUCCCGAGGCUCAGCUGCCGGCAGUUGCAGGGUGCUGCCGCCUCAGGCUCCCGUGAUUGAGUUGCCAGCAGCUGAUCGCAUCCCUUCCCAGCCCUGUGACAACAGGUUGAGGGAGAGGGAAGCUCUGGGGGAUCUGGCCGGUGGCUGGGCUGUGCCUGGAGCUGAGUCCCUGCCUUGCCCACGACCUGGUGAUGCCGAGGGCUGCGAGCAGGAUGGCUUCUCCUGCAGCCCAAGAGGCGCAGGGUGCGUUUAACCCCCGCCGCAGUAUUUCCACACGCUUUGCUGUAAUCUCCAGAAUAUACGAUCUCUAAACAAUAUCUGCAGCGCCCCUGGCCCUGGCUGUGUCCUGUGUCUGCUGCAUCUGCCUGCGAGGAGCAGCGAGGACUCUGCCGAGAGAGCUGUUCCUUGCAAUGCUUUAAUGAAAGAAGAAAGACCUUGCAGCAGACGAGUACUUGCACUGGAUGCAAACCAGCCUCUGCUGGAAGUGUUGCUGCUACAGAUAAAUCACGCGACCGCCUGCAUUAUUGUGUGCGAUUGCCCACAUCCAUCAACUGCUCUGUCUUGUCUACGGUGUUGGCUGCAUCUUACAGUCUUUGUUAAAUUCACACUGGGUUUGGCUUUAAACUUUUCUCACAGUGGCAUGCCCAAUGACUGCUUUAUGGAUGCAAGUCCUUGUUUGUAUGCUGGGACAAAGCAAUGGCGCACAGAGGGUGUGGAUGUUACUCCACCAGUGACGUGCUUCCCAGUUUUCAUUUUGCAUGUGCGUGCACGUAUUCCAGAAUGGCUGAACCGAGCUCUGAAAGCUUAAAUGCUGUAUGAAUUUCAGAAAAAUCCCAUUCUUAAAAUUAAUCCCUGUAACACUGUGUAAAAUCAGCAUAAAAACUGUUAUUUUAUUCCUGAGAAAAGAGUCAGAGCUUUAAAUAGAGAAGAUAUCAAAUGCUGCCGUCCCUCUGACCCCUUGUCUCUUGUGAGACAGCA